rnacentral:rRNA from 1 species
AAACUCCGAAUACCUUAUAUGUAAUCACAGCAGUCAGGCGGCGAGUGAUAAAAUCCGUCGUCAAGAGGGAAACAACCCAGACUACCAGCUAAGGUCCCUAAAUCUUACUUAAGUGGAAAACGAUGUGAAGUUACUUAAACAACCAGGAGGUUGGCUUAGAAGCAGCCAUCCUUUAAAGAAAGCGUAAUAGCUCACUGGUCUAGUGAUUUUGCGCGGAAAAUAUAACGGGGCUAAAGUAAGUACCGAAGCUGUAGACUUAGUUUACUAAGUGGUAGGAGAGCGUUCUAUUUGCGUCGAAGGUAUACCGGUAAGGAGUGCUGGAGCGAAUAGAAGUGAGCAUGCAGGCAUGAGUAGCGAUAAUUAAUGUGAGAAUCAUUAACGCCGUAAACCCAAGGUUUCCUACGCGAUGCUCGUCAUCGUAGGGUUAGUCGGGUCCUAAGUCGAGUCCGAAAGGGGUAGACGAUGGCAAAUUGGUUAAUAUUCCAAUACCAACAUUAGUGUGCGAUGGAAGGACGCUUAGGGCUAAGGGGGCUAGCGGAUGGAAGUGCUAGUCUAAGGUCGUA